rnacentral:rRNA from 1 species
UUGUUGCCUCGGCGGAUCAGCCCGCUCCCGGUAAAACGGGACGGCCCGCCAGAGGACCCCUAAACUCUGUUUCUAUAUGUAACUUCUGAGUAAAACCAUAAAUAAAUCAAAACUUUCAACAACGGAUCUCUUGGUUCUGGCAUCGAUGAAGAACGCAGCAAAAUGCGAUAAGUAAUGUGAAUUGCAGAAUUCAGUGAAUCAUCGAAUCUUUGAACGCACAUUGCGCCCGCCAGUAUUCUGGCGGGCAUGCCUGUUCGAGCGUCAUUUCAACCCUCAAGCCCUCGGGUUUGGUGUUGGGGAUCGGCGAGCCCUUGCGGCAAGCCGGCCCCGAAAUCUAGUGGCGGUCUCGCUGCAGCUUCCAUUGCGUAGUAGUAAAACCCUCGCAACUGGUACGCGGCGCGGCCAAGCCGUUAAACCCCCAACUUCUGAAUGUUGACCUCGGAUCAGGUAGGAAUACCCGCUGAACUUAAGCAUAUA